CCAAAUUGUCAAGCAAAUUAAGCAUAAAAUUUGAUCUUAUUAAGAAGAGUUUAAACACCAGAUAUAAAUUCAGACGUUACAGCUUAAAGAUUAAGAACAAGAAGGUACUGAUUUACUAGUAUGAUGAAUAGAGAGGACGCCUAGACUCAUCGAAGUAUUCAUCACGAUCAACGAAAACGAUGGCGUACAGAGCAUAGAUUAUUCCAGGGACAUAACCUAGGAUAGUCAGCAACAAACAAAUACAAAACUCAACGCUGCAACAGCCAUGCCUGAAGCAAACGCCCAAAGGAGGAAGCAAGAUUGCAAUAAGGAUUUCGCAGCAGAUCUCACAGCGAGUAGGCAUUUUUUCCGUUUCAACGGUAAUCUAACAGUUUGAUCCUUAUAUAUAUUGCAUAGAUCUACAGGGACAGAUUCUUAAUGAAGAAGAAAACAAAGCGUUUGAUUAGGGCCUAAUCUCCAACGAAGCAUCCUCGGUAACUAAACGUUAGCUUUCAAAUAAGAAAAAAAUAAAAAAAAGGGUAGCUUUCAAAUGGUGAUUGACUUAUCAAAAAAUGAAUUUUUUCUUUUGGUGCAAUGG
rnacentral:misc_RNA from 1 species